GAUGAACGCUGGCGGCGUGCCUAAUACAUGCAAGUCGAGCGAACGGACGAGAAGCUUGCUUCUCUGAUGUUAGCGGCGGACGGGUGAGUAACACGUGGAUAACCUCCCUAUAAGACUGGGAUCACUUCGGGAAACCGGAGCUAAUACCGGAUAAUAUUUUGAACCGCAUGGUUCAAAGGUGAAUGACGGUCUUGCUGUCACUUAUAGAUGCAUCCGCGCUGCAUUAGCUAGUUGGUAAGGUAACGGCUUACCAAGGCAACGAGGCAUAGCCGAGCUGAGAGGGUGAUCGGCCACACUGGAACUGAGACACGGUCCAGACUCCUACGGGAGGCAGCAGUAGGGAAUCUUCCGCAAUAGGCGAAAGCCUGACGGAGCAACGCCGAGUGAGUGAUGAAGGUCUUCGGAUCGUAAAACUCUGUUAUUAGGGAAGAACAUAUGUGUAAGUAACUGUGCACAUCUUGACGGUACCGAAUCAGAAAGCCACGGCUAACUACGUG
rnacentral:rRNA from 1 species